AUGGUAACCUUGUCCGCAAAACGGGCGAAAGUCAUAGUUUGCAUCAAAUAUAGAAAGAAAGCUAUCGCCAUUAAGCCGUAUUAUUUACGACCAGCGGGAGUCCGCAUUGUCGAUUAUAAUUAGUUGCGCAAGACGCAAGUCAAUACAAAUGCAACAAUUUCAUGUUGUAUUUCAUAUUAUAAAGUUGUACUUUCAUAUUUUGUUGAUAAGAAAUAAUCAAGACGAUGUUUGUGUAC